UACGGAGGGGGCUAGCGUUGUUCGGAAUUACUGGGCGUAAAGCGCACGUAGGCGGCUUGGUAAGUUAGAGGUGAAAGCCUGGAGCUCAACUCCAGAAUUGCCUUUAAGACUGCCGAGCUAGCAGGUGAGAGAGGUGAGUGGAAUUCCGAGUGUAGGGGUGAAAUGCGUAGAGAUCGGGAGGAACAUCAGUGGCGAAGGCGGCCAUCUGGGACAACACUGACGCUGAGGCACGAAAGCGUGGGGAGCAAACAGG
rnacentral:rRNA from 1 species